AAUGAACGCUGGCGGCAGGCCUAAAACAUGCAAGUCGAACGCUCUAGCAAUAGAGAGUGGCGCACGGGUGAGUAACACGUGGGAAUAUGCCUUUUGGUACGGAACAACGUCUGGAAACGGACGCUAAUACCGUAUGGUCCCUCCGGGGUAAAGAUUUAUCGCCAAAAGAUUAGCCCGCGUCUGAUUAGCUAGUUGGUGAGGUAAUGGCUCACCAAGGCGACGAUCAGUAGCUGGUCUGAGAGGACGAUCAGCCACACUGGGACUGAGACACGGCCCAGACUCCUACGGGAGGCAGCAGUUAGGAAUAUUGGACAAUGGGCGCAAGCCUGAUCCAGCCAUGCCGCGUGAGUGAUGAAGGCCUUCGGGUUGUAAAGCUCUUUAGUCCACGAAUAUAAUGACUGUAGUGGAAGAAUAAGCCCCGGCUAACUUCGUGCCAGCCGCCGCGGUAAAAC
rnacentral:rRNA from 1 species